GUUCCCACCUGAAUUCUCCCAUCAUGGCUCUGUCCCCAUCUGAUUCUUGUUCUUUCCCUCCUAGGGCUGAUUUUCUACGUCCUGCUCAGAUGGAUUCUGGCUGUUGACUUAUUUAGCUCCCAGAAUUGCCGGAGAGGGAGGGCAGAUGGUCCGAUGGUUAUAGAACUUAACUGCGAAUGGAGCUCUGCCCAUUUUCUAGCCCUGCCUCUGUACAUCAUGGAACGUCACCGGGUCUCAGUUUGCUCCAUGGUGGAAAGGACCCUACUGGGACGUUGUGAGCCUAAAUUCGUUCAUCUUUUCCAGGUGCUUUGAGAUCCUCCGAAGGAAGGUGCUGCAGAAGUGCACAGUGCUAGUGUUAUCCAGGGAUGCUGUUGGGGCUUUCUGAAGAAAGUAACAUUUUUGGCUUAAACGGGUCGACAGUGUCCCUGUCCCUUGGAGCCACUCAACUCAUGCUAACUUUCCCAGUCACACCCCACAAUGUGCGACUGCUGCCUACAGGCACGUCUGCUCUGGAGGGCUACAACUGCAACCCAGUGGGGAAAACAUUAGCCCAGGGUUAUGACUCUUUCCCCCCGUCCCUACCUUCUGAGAGAUAAACCUUGCAGGUGUCAGGGUAUUCCAGGCACAUGGCUGGGUAUGGAGGAGAUCUCUCAAAGCUUUGAGCUGAAAGCCUGGAGGGUUGGUUCCUUUUUUUUUUUUUAAUCCUUGGCUAUUUGCAGCUAUGGGUGCUCCAGACUCAGUGAACGACCCAGCUUGGAUGACAUAGCCCUACAGAACGCUGCCCGUCCUGAGAGACCCCAGCUGGGGCAGCCAGCGCGUGUGCAGAAUGUUUCAGGGCAGCUUUGUGUAGUCGAAAGGAAGGGAGCUCCGGCAGCUUUCUCUCCUGACUAACUGUGAGUGAUGUAAUGGCUGACCCAGGCCAACGGAGUCCCCAGCUACCGCUCAACGACUCAGAUAUUUUUGGCCGACACACGCGUCCGUGUUUAUUUUUAUAACAGCGCUCUGUGAAUUUGAGGGCUCAGGAAGGUGAGGGGCCUAGAGCUGCGACCAGAAUCCUAACAAAUGUCAACAUUAAUAUCGCUCUGGAGAUAACACUCUGGUGAUCACGGUACUCUACUAAUAGAGCUCAGUCGUCAUGAACCCCUGGGGAGCAGUAGUACUAAUGGAGAUCAUUAAUAUUUUGUGACAUCGGGUUACCAAGACCUGAUUCCAAAUCUACGGCAAAUAACCUUUGACUAACAAAGAGCAGCACAACUUUCCAACGCCCAAGAGGCCGGGGAAGCCCACGUUAGACAUUCAUACGUUCAGAACGCCCAAAUCACACAGGGAAGGGGACUGAUCCUGGCACGUGCCGAGCACUCGGGCUCUAGUUCAGCAAAAUACUUUAAGCAGGUGAGGAGACGAGACCCGUUGACUCAUGGCACUGCGAUUAGGGCCCAGCCAAAGGUGCGACCCACAGUCUGGGCUCUUUAAAAUGCUACCUGUUCUGUAGGGAAAUGGUUUCUUUGAUCCAGGAACGUAGUGUUAUUCAAUGAGAUUCAUCGUGCAGCGGGAAUGUUAAGGUGCAAGGUUUGUGACUGCAGUUCAUGGGGGAAUUAGCUUUCAAGUGGCACCUGGCACGACCUUCCACUCUUAGAAGUUGACCGGGGUGCUCAGCUUUGACCUCCCAAGGAGGAUGACAAGAAACAGACAGUGUCGGCUCGUUUAGUGUCACGGUUUCAAAUAAUUAUCUUUUAUUACGAGAGACUCGUCAGAUUGCUCACACUGUGGCAAGAAUUUAAUAAUAAAAGGCACCGGGGAACAUUCAGACGUAAAAAGUUCUCAGCCUGCGAGAUCUAACCAUCUCCUGUGAGUCUGUACGAGACCCGCUCCAUAAAAACCCCAACUAAAACAAAACAAAACUGAAACACCACAACAGCUUCCAAAAAAAAAGCAAACACGUGCUUGUCUACGUCACGCGCAUCUUUCUGAGCAGGGGCGUCACCUCCACAUCGAACAGAGCGUCCCUGGUGGAGCAGGGCUGGAAUUUAAGAGUGCCAGAGGCAGUGAUGGGAAGUGACAUGGGGAGACGUGUAAUGUCGCGAAAGCCACGGAAAGCAUUGUCUUGGCAACAGCAAGAUCAAAUAAAAAUACCACCACCAAACACGUCAGCACCAAAAGCUAACUUUAAAGCAUGGAAAACACAAGAACAGUACAAUCACCGAGUAAUAAUAAAGCAUGUAGCAUUUUCAAACCUUUAUUUUUAGAGGGGAUUUUACAUGAUGUUUUUUUUUAACUUGUGCGUUUUUUUAAAAACUAUUUGUGCCCAAUUAUUAAUAAAUUCAAGCCCUGGGAAUUUAAAUUUUGCCAUUCUGGAUCUUCAGUGUCUAUCCCACUCCCUUCUCCAUCCUCCCUAACAGGAACUAAAAUCCAGCACCCCAAACUUUCACCACCAAUUGCUCCACUAAACUUUGGAAAGCCCAAUCUUCUAACAUCCUCUGGAUACAUCUUCCCUCACUUGCCGUCUGGAAAUCAGGGAGUUAAUCCUCUGGGAUGGCUUUGCUUUACAUUGAAAGAUCUGAAGAACAUAUUAGUAAGGAGUUUGAAAAAAAAAAUCCAAGAGUGGAUAAGAAGAGGGAGUAGCUAUUUAGCACAGGAACAGGGCUGGUUAUUGUAACUUUGUUGUCGAAUCAGAGAGCAGAGAAGAACACGCUGAAAUGGAUGCGUGAGCAGAGUAUUCUAGUGGUAUUCAUUAGGCUACUAACAAUAAGUUGUUGUCUCUUUUAGCACCGUUAAUAUACGUUUAGAUCUAUAUUAGCACCUUGUCCCCAGGGGAAAAAACAAAACAAAAAGGUUUAAAAAUAAAAGGAAACAGGAGGUAAAAAAAAAAAA